UGCCGAGCAAUCUUGUCAUUCUUUUAGAAACUUGUCUUCCUUUACGAAGGCACUGCAGAGGCUAAGAAGAUGUAUGGAAACUCUAAAAUAAAUAUAAUUCAACUUGUAGGCCAGAUUUGAAAAGGAAAUAAUAAAUCCCGAAGCUCAGGUUUGUCAGUUGUUUAGAAUGAGGAUACUGGGGAUUGCUGAAUCAUAUUCCAUUGCCGAAGGGGGACAUGACUAAUUUAAUAUUAUUGUAUCCUUAGAUGUGAGACACCAAGGCUGCCAGUACCUCUGGAUCGAUUGUCCAUGUGUUGGAUGAUGCACAACCGUUGAUCAGAACAGACAUUGUAUAAUUGACCAAAGCUAUGCUUGGAUACAAGACUGAUGACUUAAUAACCAGUAUUGACAACAGUGAAGAUGGUUAUGUCCCAGGGCCAUCAGGAUCAUCAGAGCAAGGCAAUUUCUAUGAAGAAAAUCUGACCGGAGAGAUGUCAGCGAUUCGGGCCAAUGACCAAGGGAAAGCUGGGACAAAAGAGAGGUUCACACGGUAAACAUGUUUCCUACAGUUUUCAGUCAGUGCAUUUUCACUCUGGCAAAAAUGCUGACUCGAUUUAACUUGCUGCAAUUUCAUUUUACAAACUAUUAUGUCUGAAGAAAUGGAUGCUGCGGCCACUGAUUGCGCAUCAGAGAAUGACUCUGAGAAAGAGGAAUCGUCUGAAGAAUCCUAUGAAGAAAAUCUGACUGGUAUGCCGAAACCUUACAUACACAUGGACCUAUUCUUAAUUACAAUGUCCUUUUCAACAUGUUUUCCAGGAGACAUGUCAGCGAUUCGGGCCAAACAACCAAUGACCAAGGGAAAACUGGGACAAAAGAGAGGCUCACACGGUGACAAAGCAACAAAAAGGUAUUGGUCGACAAUAGAGGUGGAUGCAGUUGAAGAUUCCUUGAUGAACUUUAUCCAAAUGGGGAAAAGUGCCUGGAAAACGCAUGCAUUUCUGCUUCUCCCCAAGCGCUAGUAAACAGGGACUGCAGAGCAGUACAGUUCUAUGUACACAACAGAAUAGUUGCAGAUCAGAGAAAAUAAGUGUAUGAGAUGCUUCUGGCUCUCUUGAUGUACUUCUGAGGAUUUAAUGGGACUUACUUGCCUUAAGCUCAUAGACAGAUGACGAAUGUCCUCGAUCUCACUGUUCAGGGGAAGUUUUUCCUGGUGGAUGGUUCACUUUUGGAGUGACUAAGGUCUCAAGAAUACAAAGCCUGCUGACUUUGAAUGUUACAGAAAAAUAAAGAAAAUUCUAAACUAUUAAUCUGUUACUUGGAUAUAUUGAAUCCAUUACUAAAAUGGUUGUUCCAGUUUAAAUACUUUAAUGAAGAACUACUCUACAGCCGUUGAGUUGCCU
ensembl:lncRNA